GGGGUUGAAAAGGAAUUCGACAGGAAGUGUAGAAUCUAAGUGCAUGUGAGCCGGUAAGCUCUAAAACUGCCAAAUAGCAAUAAACGCAAACAAUACAAAUUACGCUCCAGCUUACGCAAAAGUAGCGUAAGUCUUAUUUCCUUUGGGAGCCGACAUUUCUAAGAGUUCUAGCCUUUUAGAUUCUGUCGUCACUAUGCUAGAUGCUUGCUAAAUAUGUCUUGGUUUAGCAAAAAGACAAAGAGACUGCUUGUCGUGUAGAGUUUGGGGGUUUUCUCUUGGGACAAAAAGAUAAAAAUCCUAUCUAAACAUGUAGAGUCUUAGUGGAAAUGCUUUUUGGACUGGGGUUCGAUUCCCCACAACUCCACCA
rnacentral:tmRNA from 2 species